AUUGAACGCUGGCGGCAGGCUUAACACAUGCAAGUCGAGCGGGGGAAGGUAGCUUGCUACUGGACCUAGCGGCGGACGGGUGAGUAAUGCUUAGGAAUCUGCCUAUUAGUGGGGGACAACAUCUCGAAAGGGAUGCUAAUACCGCAUACGUCCUACGGGAGAAAGCAGGGGAUCUUCGGACCUUGCGCUAAUAGAUGAGCCUAAGUCGGAUUAGCUAGUUGGUGGGGUAAGGGCCUACCAAGGCGACGAUCUGUAGCGGGUCUGAGAGGAUGAUCCGCCACACUGGGACUGAGACACGGCCCAGACUCCUACGGGAGGCAGCAGUGGGGAAUAUUGGACAAUGGGCGCAAGCCUGAUCCAGCCAUGCCGCGUGUGUGAAGAAGGCCUUAUGGUUGUAAAGCACUUUAAGCGAGGAGGAGGCUACUUUAGUUAAUACCUAGAGAUAGUGGACGUUACUCGCAGAAUAAGCACCGGCUAACUCUGUGCCAGCAGCCGCAGUAA
rnacentral:rRNA from 1 species